UACGUAGGUGGCGAGCGUUGUCCGGAUUUAUUGGGUUUAAAGGGUGCGUAGGCGGCUUUGUAAGUCAGUGGUGAAAUACUCCAGCUUAACUGGAGGGGUGCCAUUGAUACUGCGGAGCUUGAGUACAGAUGAGGGUAGGCGGAAAUUGACGGUGUAGCGGUGAAAAUGCAUAGAUACCUCAAGAACACCGAUAGCGAAGGCAGCUUACUGGGCUGUAACUGACGCUGAUGCACGAAAAGUGUGGGGAUCAAACAGG
rnacentral:rRNA from 1 species